rnacentral:rRNA from 1 species
UACGUAGGGGGCAAGCGUUAUCCGGAUUCACUGGGUGUAAAGGGAGCGUAGACGGUUAUGCAAGUCAGAAGUGAAAGCCCAAAGCUCAACUUCGGGACUGCUUUUGAAACUGUGUAACUAGAGUGCAGGAGGGGUAAGCGGAAUUCCUAGUGUAGCGGUGAAAUGCGUGGAUAUUAGGAGGAACACCGGCGGCGAAGGCGGCUUACUGGACUGUAACUGACGUUGAGGCUCGAAAGCGUGGGGAGCAAACAGG